rnacentral:rRNA from 1 species
GAUGAACCCUGGCGGCGUGCCUAACACAUGCAAGUCGAACGAGGUAAAUGAGAUGAAGUAUUCGGAUGGAUUCUUAUUUACCGAGUGGCGGACGGGUGAGUAACGCGUGGGUAACCUGCCUCAUAACGGGGGAUAACGAUGGGAAACGAUUGCUAAUACCGCAUAAGAGCACAUUACCACAUGGUACCGUGUGAAAAACUCCGGUGGUAUGAGAUGGACCCGCGUGUGAUUAGCUAGGUGGUGAGGUAACGGCCCACCAAGGCAACGAUCAGUAGCCGACCUGAGAGGGUGACCGGCCACAUUGGGACUGAGACACGGCCCAGACUCCUACGGGAGGCAGCAGUGGGGGAUAUUGCACAAUGGAGGAAACUCUGAUGCAGCGACGCCGCGUGAGUGAAGAAGUAUUUCGGUAUGUAAAGCUCUAUCAGCAGGGAAGAAAAUGACGGUACCUGACUAAGAAGCCCCGGCUAACUACGUGCCAGCCGCCGCGGUAA